UGGCGGCACAGGGAUUCCUUGGAAGGCCUCCUGCAAGAAGUUUUUGUAAGUGUGUGUGUGUGUAUGCCCUUGUUUUUACAGGAGAAUCACAUUCUUCAGACCACCCGUCUAUCUCGCACAGGCAGACAGAGCACGUCAUGGGUCCUGUCUCCCAAAAGAUAGCACUUUAAAGAUAUCAAAAUGGAAAGCUGUCUGUCUGACUUUCUCAAAUAUAGACAAUCUUAUAGUAUUGUCUAGCUCUCACAACAUACUGAGAUAAGAUGAUAAGGUAGGUGAAGUAUGUCCUGACAUUUUUUACUUUGCCAGUUUUAACUGAGCUCCUCAAAUCCUUUCCUUUCAUUGUCUUCUUACCACCAGCGUCCAGUAUGCAAAAAGAAAGUUGAAAACCACCAAAAACAUCAAAGUAGAAAAGCUGCAAAGCCUCGAGGAAAUGGCCUUCCUUGAUCAUGUGUUGGUUUGCUUUUCUUUAGUUCAUAGGAUCUGAGACUAGUGGCCAUGUCUGUGUCAUCUCUCUUGAGGCUUAUUUCUUUGCUGUUAAACAUUUCAGCUCUUUAAACAUAGAGCAUCUCUCAUUUAUAGGGAGAAUCUAGAAUCUUAGAAUUGGCAAAGUACUUUGAAGCUAUCUGGGUCAAUUUCUCAUCCAUCAAGUAAGACAAAUGCUACUUGUUAUGUUGAGC
rnacentral:lncRNA from 1 species